rnacentral:sRNA from 1 species
GCAGGGCAUGGUGACACAUACCUGUAAUCCCAGUGGCUUGGGAGGCUGAGGCAGGAGGAUUGCAAGUUCAAAGCAAGCCUCAGAAACUUAGUAAGGUCCUAAGCAACUUAGCGAGACCCUGUCUCAA